CAGGGAAUGAGUUUGAGUGUGCUUCAGUAUUGCAAGGACAUACACAGGAUGUUAAAAUGGUUAAGUGGCAUCCAAAUGUGGACGUUUUGUUUUCCUGUAGCUAUGAUAACACCAUUAAGGUUUGGGCUGAGGAUGGUGAGGGUGAUUGGCGCUGUGUUCAAACCUUGGGUGAAUCCAGCAAUGGUCACACUUCUACCGUUUGGUCACUUUCUUUUAAUGCUGAAGGAAGCAAAAUGGUUACCUGUAGUGAUGAUC
rnacentral:misc_RNA from 1 species